CCUGCGGCAGGCCACCAAUGAAUGUGGGGUCAGGAUGGAAGGAGGUGGGGAGGACUGAGUUGUUUGUCCCCCCUCUUGGCACAGCUCUCUUAGUCUCUACCAGGCGGCCGUCAACCUUGUGUGGCCGAGCCUUCUGCACCGCGUCUACGUGCUUGGGACUGUCAAAGGUCACGAAGCCGAACCCUCGCGACCUGUAGUGUGUGGUUGGGGGAAGGGGGACGAGAACGAAGCAGGGUCAAUAGCUCAGAAUGACAGCUAUACCAGUUUAACUCCAGACAUCACGCCCGCUACAUCUCACCUCUCCAGUCACCACGCCACUACGCCACCACCGACCCCUCGAGUCUACGCAGCCCGGUGUCCGUCUGUGUCUUGUCGUCGGGCGUGACGUGCAGCAAAGG